rnacentral:lncRNA from 1 species
UAAAAUAAGUGACUAGUGUCAAACUCUCAUGCACAAAACUUAGAAUAGAGCAAUUUCAAUGGGAUACAAGAAAUAUGCAAAUCAAGAAUAAAGUCAAUAAUUUUGACUAUGAAAAGUUUAUUUGAUUUUCUAUCGUGGAAUCUCUUUUCUUGUUUUGUACUUCCGUGUCCUCGACUUUUGUUAUCUCUCUUAAGCUGAUUUCUCAUUUCCUCCUCUAUAUUUCUGUAAUUUAGAGUGAGUGUUCUUUUUAUUUCAGGUUACUCCUGAGUUUUUUCUUGAUUUUUUUUUUGCGAUUUGCAAGAAUUCCGCCAUCUUUUCUUUCUCUGUCAACUUGGUGUUUCUGGUUCCUAUAUCUGUCUCUAGUGGUUGAUCAUUCCCUUAUGAGCACCCAGUUUUGCAAAGUCUGUGUUUUUAGAUCGUUAUCAGGUGUUU